CAUGCAAGUCGAACGGAAGUUUAAGCAAUUAAACUUUAGUGGCGAACGGGUGAGUAACGCGUAAGCAAUCUGCCCCUAAGACGAGGAUAACAGUUGGAAACGACUGCUAAGACCGGAUAGGAGACAAGAAGGCAUCUUCUUGUUUUUAAAAGACCUAGCAAUAGGUAUGCUUAGGGAGGAGCUUGCGUCACAUUAGUUAGUUGGUGGGGUAAAGGCCUACCAAGACUAUGAUGUGUAGCCGGGCUGAGAGGUUGAACGGCCACAUUGGGACUGAGACACGGCCCAAACUCCUACGGGAGGCAGCAGUAGGGAAUUUUCGGCAAUGGAGGAAACUCUGACCGAGCAACGCCGCGUGAACGAUGAAGUAUUUCGGUACGUAAAGUUCUUUUAUUAGGGAAGAAUAAAUGAUGGAAAAAUCAUUCUGACGGUACCUAAUGAAUAAGCCCCGGCUAACUAUGUGCCAGCAGCCGCGGUAAUACAUAGGGGGCAAGCGUUAUCCGGAAUUAUUGGGCGUAAAGGGUGCGUAGGCGGUUAAAUAAGUUUAUGGUCUAAGUGCAAUGCUCAACAUUGUGAUGCUAUAAAAACUGUUUAGCUAGAGUAAGAUAGAGGCAAGUGGAAUUCCAUGUGUAGUGGUAAAAUGCGUAAAUAUAUGGAGGAACACCAGUAGCGAAGGCGGCUUGCUGGGUCUUUACUGACGCUGAGGCACGAAAGCGUGGGGAGCAAACAGGAUUAGAUACCCUGGUAGUCCACGCCGUAAACGAUGAGUACUAAACGUUGGGUAAAACCAGUGUUGAAGUUAACACAUUAAGUACUCCGCCUGAGUAGUACGUACGCAAGUAUGAAACUUAAAGGAAUUGACGGGACUCCGCACAAGCGGUGGAUCAUGUUGUUUAAUUCGAAGGUACCCGAAAAACCUCACCAGGUCUUGACAUGCUUCUGCAAAGCUGUAGAAACACAGUGGAGGUUAUCAGUUGCACAGGUGGUGCAUGGUUGUCGUCAGCUCGUGUCGUGAGAUGUUGGGUUAAGUCCCGCAACGAGCGCAACCCUUAUUGUUAGUUACCAGCACGUAAUGGUGGGGACUUUAGCAAGACUGCCAGUGAUAAAUUGGAGGAAGGUGGGGACGACGUCAAAUCAUCAUGCCCCUUAUGACCUGGGCUACAAACGUGAUACAAUGGCUGUUACAAAGGGUAGCUGAAGCGCAAGUUUUUGGCGAAUCUCAAAAAAACAGUCUCAGUUCGGAUUGAAGUCUGCAACUCGACUUCAUGAAGUUGGAAUCGCUAGUAAUCGCGAAUCAGCAUGUCGCGGUGAAUACGUUCUCGGGGUUUGUACACACCGCCCGUCAAACCACGAAAGUUGGCAAUACCCAAAGCCGGUGGCCUAACUUCGCAAGAAGAGGGAACCGUCUAAGGUAGGGUCGAUGAUUGGGGUUAAG
rnacentral:rRNA from 1 species